AUUGAACGCUGGCGGCAUGCCUUACACAUGCAAGUCGAACGGCAGCACGGGAGCAAUCCUGGUGGCGAGUGGCGAACGGGUGAGUAAAGUAUCGGAACGUGCCCAGUCGUGGGGGAUAACGUAGCGAAAGUUACGCUAAUACCGCAUACGAUCUAUGGAUGAAAGCGGGGGAUCGCAAGACCUCGCGCGAUUGGAGCGGCCGAUAUCAGAUUAGGUAGUUGGUGGGGUAAAGGCUCACCAAGCCGACGAUCUGUAGCUGGUCUGAGAGGACGACCAGCCACACUGGGACUGAGACACGGCCCAGACUCCUACGGGAGGCAGCAGUGGGGAAUUUUGGACAAUGGGCGCAAGCCUGAUCCAGCCAUGCCGCAUGCAGGAUGAAGGCCUUCGGGUUGUAAACUGCUUUUGUACGGAACGAAAAGGUUUGACUUAAUACGUUGGACUCAUGACGGUACCGUAAGAAUAAGCACCGGCUAACUACGUGCCAGCAGCCGCCGUAA
rnacentral:rRNA from 1 species